rnacentral:rRNA from 1 species
UACGUAGGGGGCAAGCGUUAUCCGGAUUUACUGGGUGUAAAGGGAGCAGUAGAGUCUGAUGUGAAAGGCGGGGGCUCAACCCCCGGACUGCAUUGGAAACUGUUGAUCUUGAGUACCGGAGAGGUAAGCGGAAUUCCUAGUGUAGCGGUGAAAUGCGUAGAUAUUAGGAGGAACACCAGUGGCGAAGGCGGCUUACUGGACGGUAACUGACGUUGAGGCUCGAAAGCGUGGGGAGCAAACAGG